GGAACCCAGAAACUAUUUUGAGAAAAGUCCAAGUCAUAUGGAUAGUCCACAUUUUUGGAGGCUGGAAAUCCAAAUUCUGGAAGCUGGAUGUCCGAGAGCAGCACUGUCAGGUUCUGAUGAAGGCCCUCUUCCUGGCCAGCAAAUAGCAAACUUCUCAUCUUGUCCUCACUUGGUGGGGAGAGAGAUUAAACUUGUUGAUUUCCCUCAGUCUCACAUCUUUAGUGAAAAGAAGUUUCACUAUCCCAAAGCAAUGGUAGAGAAGAGGAAGUCCCAAACCAUCUGGUGGUUGCAAGAACUAGAAGGCAAUCUAUGGUGCUGCCUCAAAUGUUCACCCCAUAUCUGGAUAAUAGAAGCAUUUCUACUAGUGCUCAUUUCAGAAAAUUCCAUUUGGGUCAAAAGGAAGGAUCAAUAAAACCUGAAACAAAUAAACCAUAAAGAAGAAAGCUGCACUAUUUAUUGGACUAGACUUAUUUCAACAGCAUAUCAACUGAAUGUUAAAAAUGUUAAAUUGUCUGGAACAGAGCAAAGUGACUUACAAACAGACCCAUCUAUCCUGCAAAGAAACUUGA
rnacentral:lncRNA from 1 species